rnacentral:rRNA from 1 species
GAUGAACGCUAGCUACAGGCUUAACACAUGCAAGUCGAGGGGCAGCGCAGUGUAGCAAUACAUGGGCGGCGACCGGCGCACGGGUGCGUAACGCGUAUCCAACCUUCCCGUUACUCAGGGAUAGCCUUCCGAAAGGGAGAUUAAUACCUGAUGGUGUUCAAAUUCCGCAUGUUAUUUGAACUAAAGAUUUAUCGGUAACGGAUGGGGAUGCGUGACAUUAGGUAGAUGGCGGGGUAACGGCCCACCAUGCCUACGAUGUCUAGGGGUUCUGAGAGGAAGGUCCCCCACACUGGAACUGAGACACGGUCCAGACUCCUACGGGAGGCAGCAGUGAGGAAUAUUGGUCAAUGGUCGGAAGACUGAACCAGCCAAGUUAGCGUGAAGGAUGACUGCCCUACGGGUUGUAAACUUCUUUUGUUGGGAAUAAAAGACGCUACGUGUAGCGUUCUGCAUGUACCUUACGAAUAAGCAUCGGCUAAUUCCGUG